rnacentral:lncRNA from 1 species
AUAUAUAUUUAAAAGAAUAUUAAAAAUAAGAAUAUUAAAAAAAUAACAAAGAAAAUUUUAAAAGUACUAAAGAAUGAAAUCUAAGCAAACUCUAAAUAUAUCUUGAUUAAAUCCUAAUCAAACCUUAAUGUAGUCCUAAAAAAAUCCUAAUAAAAUUCUAAUUAGAUCCUAACCAAAUCCUAACUAAAUCCUAAUCAAAUUUAAGAAAAUUUUAAAUAAAUUCUAAUUAAUUUCUAUAGCCAUUUUAAAAUUUCAAUAAAUAUUAAUUAAACUAUUGAUGUCAAUUAAAAUUUUACCUAUAUUUCAAUCCACAAGCAAAUAAAAAGUAUACAAAUUUGAGAAAAAACAAACUAACAAAUUGAAAAAAUAAUUCCUAAAACUCUUGGAUACUUGCUGCCAUCCUUCUCCAACUUGAAUUUUUAUCUCUUAGUAGCAAUUUUUCCUUGUUGAACUAUUUAAUUACUCUAUAAAUUGAUUGAUGUAUAUGUAAAUAAGUCUAAAUUUAUCUCACCAAUUUUUGCUUUAAUCAAACUAGUAGAUUUUUUAAGAUUACAAGAAUCCUUGUUAAUACUAAAUUUCAUAUAUUCAAGACUCUAACCUAAUAAAACUCUUAUAUCUUUUAAUCUAACUAUUUGAUUGACAUCAUAUUUGUGAAAAAUAUUUAUAACAAACACAAUGAAAAAUUCACAAAAUUUCACCCAUAAAUUUACUAUGCUAUUUACACAAUCUUCAAAUUUGUAAUCCCCUUUU